CGAUGAUGACUACCGGUGGCGUAUGAGU
rnacentral:piRNA from 1 species